GAUGAACGCUGGCGGCGUGCCUAAUACAUGCAAGUCGAGCGAACGGACGAGAAGCUUGCUUCUCUGAUGUUAGCGGCGGACGGGUGAGUAACACGUGGAUAACCUACCUAUAAGACUGGGAUAACUUCGGGAAACCGGAGCUAAUACCGGAUAAUAUUUUGAACCGCAUGGUUCAAAAGUGAAAGACGGUCUUGCUGUCACUUAUAGAUGGAUCCGCGCUGCAUUAGCUAGUUGGUAAGGUAACGGCUUACCAAGGCAACGAUGCAUAGCCGACCUGAGAGGGUGAUCGGCCACACUGGAACUGAGACACGGUCCAGACUCCUACGGGAGGCAGCAGUAGGGAAUCUUCCGCAAUGGGCGAAAGCCUGACGGAGCAACGCCGCGUGAGUGAUGAAGGUCUUCGGAUCGUAAAACUCUGUUAUUAGGGAAGAACAUAUGUGUAAGUAACUGUGCACAUCUUGACGGUACCUAAUCAGAAAGCCACGGCUAACUACGUGCCAGCAGCCGCGGUAAUACGUAGGUGGCAAGCGUUAUCCGGAAUUAUUGGGCGUAAAGCGCGCGUAGGCGGUUUUUUAAGUCUGAUGUGAAAGCCCACGGCUCAACCGUGGAGGGUCAUUGGAAACUGGAAAACUUGAGUGCAGAAGAGGAAAGUGGAAUUCCAUGUGUAGCGGUGAAAUGCGCAGAGAUAUGGAGGAACACCAGUGGCGAAGGCGACUUUCUGGUCUGUAACUGACGCUGAUGUGCGAAAGCGUGGGGAUCAAACAGGAUUAGAUACCCUGGUAGUCCACGCCGUAAACGAUGAGUGCUAAGUGUUAGGGGGUUUCCGCCCCUUAGUGCUGCAGCUAACGCAUUAGGCACUCCGCCUGGGGAGUACGACCGCAAGGUUGAAACUCAAAGGAAUUGACGGGGACCCGCACAAGCGGUGGAGCAUGUGGUUUAAUUCGAAGCAACGCGAAGAACCUUACCAAAUCUUGACAUCCUUUGACAACUCUAGAGAUAGAGCCUUCCCCUUCGGGGGACAAAGUGACAGGUGGUGCAUGGUUGUCGUCAGCUCGUGUCGUGAGAUGUUGGGUUAAGUCCCGCAACGAGCGCAACCCUUAAGCUUAGUUGCCAUCAUUAAGUUGGGCACUCUAAGUUGACUGCCGGUGACAAACCGGAGGAAGGUGGGGAUGACGUCAAAUCAUCAUGCCCCUUAUGAUUUGGGCUACACACGUGCUACAAUGGACAAUACAAAGGGCAGCGAAACCGCGAGGUCAAGCAAAUCCCAUAAAGUUGUUCUCAGUUCGGAUUGUAGUCUGCAACUCGACUACAUGAAGCUGGAAUCGCUAGUAAUCGUAGAUCAGCAUGCUACGGUGAAUACGUUCCCGGGUCU
rnacentral:rRNA from 1 species